CGAUAGCGGGAACGAUCAGCAGCAAUGCAAUACCGGGGACGAUCAUCGCCAGCGCCCAUACGCCCCAAUCGAGGUGUACGUCCAGGAUCUUCGCCGCAAAGUCGGCGGUGAGGAGGUUCGGCGCCAUGGCGGUAAUGAAGAUAAAGCUGCUAACCUUCAUCACGAAGUAGAUGUUGGACAUCAGGUAAGAACCUGCUUUCUGGGCACUUUCUCCCGGCUCUGAGCCCAAUGCUUUAACGACGGAAAGCACUAU
rnacentral:antisense_RNA from 25 species